rnacentral:ncRNA from 1 species
GUUUGUACAGACCCUUUACCGAAAGACUGUGUACCCAUAAUGAUGGCGCGGCGAUGAUCCUGCAGCGCGCCAGAUACAAUUUCAGACGCAGAUGCAGACCCGCCAUUUAUUAAGACUACAAUCGGCAGACCGCCUGUUAAGUCACCCUUGCUUGCAUUGUCACGUUUUGUGUCAUGUUCGUUACGGCCACGAGUGGAUACGAUUUCGCCUUUAUCAAGGAAAAUAUCGGAUACGCCAAUCGCUUGGUCUAAUAGUCCGCCUGGAUUGUUUCGA